rnacentral:rRNA from 1 species
UACGGGGGGGGCAAGCGUUGUUCGGAAUUACUGGGCGUAAAGGGCUCGUAGGUGGCUAACUAAGUCAGACGUGAAAUCCCUCAGCUUAACUGGGGAACUGCGUCUGAUACUGGAUGGCUUGAGUUUGGGAGAGGGAUGCGGAAUUCCAGGUGUAGCGGUGAAAUGCGUAGAUAUCGGAAGGAACAUCAGUGGCGAAAGCGACUUCCUGGACCAAUACUGACGCUCAUGUGCGAAAGCGUGGGGAGCAAACAGG